UGGUCCUAAGAAAGGCAGAAUGCACC
rnacentral:piRNA from 1 species